AUUGAACGCUGGCGGCAGGCCUAACACAUGCAAGUCGAGCGGGGUUUUCGGACCUAGCGGCGGACGGGUGAGUAAUGCGUAGGAAGCUACCCGAUAGAGGGGGAUACCAGUUGGAAACGACUGUUAAUACCGCAUAAUGUCUACGGACCAAAGUGUGGGACCUUCGGGCCACAUGCUAUCGGAUGUGCCUACGUGGGAUUAGCUAGUUGGUGAGGUAAUGGCUCACCAAGGCGACGAUCCCUAGCUGGUUUGAGAGGAUGAUCAGCCACGCUGGAACUGAGACACGGUCCAGACUCCUACGGGAGGCAGCAGUGGGGAAUAUUGGACAAUGGGCGCAAGCCUGAUCCAGCCAUGCCGCGUGUGUGAAGAAGGCCUUCGGGUUGUAAAGCACUUUCAGUAAGGAGGAAGCGUUGAGUGUUAAUAGUACUCAGCGUUGACGUUACUUACAGAAGAAGCACCGGCUAACUCUGUGCCAGCAGCCGCGGUAAGAC
rnacentral:rRNA from 1 species